UUCCUAGAGCUGGGGGUUUCUGUAGGCACUUUAUCUCUCCACUUUCAAAAGCUUGGGCUUGGCCCUACUCUUAGGCUGCCCGAUCCUGUUUCUAUUACUAAUUUAAAUCUAUGGCUUGAGCCUCUACUUGAGAAAAGCAAAAUCUAC
rnacentral:lncRNA from 1 species